AUUUUAAUAUGAUUCCACGACCACUUUAGCAUGAUUGUGGUUGCUAAUGUAGACAUAACACCAAUUACGAUUUCCUUUUCUCCAAUUGCAGAUGUAUCAAAAAAUCAAAUCCCUAGCACAUAACUUCCCACAAUUAAACCCUCCUUGCACCACCACUCCUCACCAUUUGUAAUCAUAAUUCCUCCUCCGCUGUUGUCCUCCUUGCACCACCAUUAAAGUCAUCUCUUUUUCUCUAUCUCUGAAGUAAGCCUCCCUCUCUCACACUCUCUUCUUCGUCUGUCUCUCUUUUUCUCUCUCUUUCUCUCUCUCCACCAUUGACUUCUCUCUUUCACUUUCGGGUUUGGUGGUUUGAAGAUCUGAGACAGUUGGAUUGAGCAAAUUGGAUGGGUUUCAGAGGCAAGAAUUAGAUCGUUGUUGUGAGACAGGUAAUCCAUCAAUAGGCUGGAAUAUGUGACCAAGCUUAAUCAAAGACUAGAUAGCAAUAAAGGCCCCCAACACUUUCAAUAAUCUUUUAUAGUUUUGAGCUCAAGAGUUGAAGAGGAAGUUAUCUAAAGAUGGAAUAUGGAUCUAGGGUGUUUAUUGGUUUUGUGCUUGCUUUUGGAAAUUACAAUACGAAAGCCCAAAAUCUUACCAA